UUUUUCAUCAAACCACGUGUACCCUCAAGGCCUCACCAUCACCCCUCAAAGAGCAAAACUGAGUCUCAGUGCUUCGAUGAUUCAGAUUUCGAAGAUAUUGACAAAAUUCAGCCCAGUAGAGAAGCUGAGUUUUGUGUCAAAUGGAUUCAAUGGAGAUUUCAAUCAUCGAUAUUCCUCUUGGGGUUGUGGCAGGAUUAUCUUUAUCGUGAAGUCAGUUUGAGAAGAAAGUCAAUUUAUUUUGUCUUAGUAAUUUUGGGGCUAUUGUUUAAGACUUGGG